rnacentral:lncRNA from 1 species
CUCAAACCCAGGAUCUAUCGAUGAGGAAGUUUAAAGUUUGUUUUAAAGCUGAAGAAGGAAAAGUCCGAACACGGAAAUGAGAGCUGGGAGGUCUGCGUGUCUCUGCUGGAGUUUGCUGUCUGUCUGCGUCCUGCUGGUCUCUGCAGACUGGAAAAUCAUCACAGCGGAUACUGGACAGACUGCCACUCUGUCGUGUCGAGGUCCAAACAGCGACAUCACAGGUGUGGAGUGGAGCAGAGCUGACCUGAAGACACAAUAUGUCCUUUUGUACCGGGACCAGCAGCUUGAUUCAGCAAACCAGCAUCCAAAUUUUAAGGACCGGGUGGAUCUGCAGGACAGACAGAUGACGGAUGGAGACGUGUCUUUGAUUCUGAAGGAUGUGAAGAUUGAGGACACGGGAACAUAUGAGUGUCGUUUGUUAGAUGGGAAGUCCAUCAGCAGCAUCUACCUGAGAGUUGUUCCUGCAGGUCAGACAGGAGGACAGAGUGGAGACGGAGUGAACGAGGAUGGAUUUGUUGGACUGAAAGCUGGUCUGCCCCUUCCUGCGAUGUUCAUCAUUGCUGGUGUUUUUUUAAUUUACCGAAAACAUAAAAAACGCAGGCGUCACGGUUUGUACUAUCAUGUGUGAACUGAAACUCUUUGUUGCACUACAUGAAGUAGGAAAAUGGUGGAGUGGUUUACAGUGGAGAUGUGGCCAUUACUUUUAUUUAUUGUUUGCACAGAAGGACAACAGAGCAAUGCUAAACUGUAGUAUGCUGGUAACAGAACUUUGGCUCUUUGCAACCAUUUGCACAGACAGUAUGCUAAUGCUAAGCUAAGUUAGCCAAUAACCCUGAGUGUUGCUGAAACUGGGUGUAUGCAGACCCCAGCCCAGCAGCCAGAGUCUGAACUGUAACAGGUAACAAAGGCAGAGAUGAUCAGUCAGACUUGAAAUUGCUGUUUCUACCUGUCCAUGUUUCUACAGUGGAGCAGCUGGUGAUCGCUUUGAAGUCUCUUUGGGCUGCUUUGUGUUGAAACCUUAAUAAUAAAAGAAAGAUCAUAUGUGUGUCCUCAUUAGGAUAGGGAUUUCUGUUGGUGUGUGGGACAGGGUGUCAUGACACCAAAGCUAGUUAUAAGACACAAACAGGAGAAGCAAACUGAGCUGUUAGAGUUCAUGACAGAAACUGAGUAAUAUGUCAUGUGACCUUGAUUUUUCCCUUUUCUCGGUGGCGGUUUUGUGAGGUGCAGAACUGUUGGACGAUUGUAAAGCUGAGAUCACAUGAACUCAGAUUAUAUCAAGUAAUUAGUAGACAUGGAAGUAUUUUUUUCUUCUCUCCAAAGUGUUAAGUGUUUUCUCUUAAAGGUGAAGCCAGUUUUCCUCUCUAUGAAUUAUAAUGUAAGAUGUCCUGG